GUGCUUACUUCAGUAGCACGUACACUAAAAUUUGGAACAUUACAGGGAAGAUUAGCAUGGCCCUUAUGCAAGGAUGACACACAAAUUUGUGAAGUGUUCCAUAUUCUC
ensembl:snRNA U6 U6 spliceosomal RNA